AAUGUGCAAAGACUAUAGUCUUUGGUGUUUUUCACCCCAAAAAAUGUGCAAAGACUAUAGUCUUUGGUGUUUUUCAACCCGAAAAAUGGGCCAAGACUAUAUCCCGAAAAAGUCAAUUGCGAACGUGCAAUUCGGUAGUCGAUCAUUGCAGCGUCUUGUACGUAGAUCCAUCGUUUCCGAAGCAACGGCAGUCUGGCCUCAGCAGCCGAAGCGACGUGGUCAUCGGGAGCGACAUCGGUGGUAGCGCGUACAUUCUUUGAGAAGAGAAAGAAGAAGCUAGCGAGGAGAGAGAGACAUAUUUUUGGGGUCUUUCGUCUUGGAUUCGACGGCAGUUCGGCUUCGGCGACAGAAGCGGCGACAUCGGGAGCGACAUCAGUAGCAAAGCGGGUUCCUUAGAGCGACGAUGGAGAGAGAGAGAACGAUGCCCAUUGCGCGAUGCAAGCAAAUCAGGACAUCAACGAGUCUCUCCAAAGAUCCUCUCCUCUCCAUCCUGUUCCAGUAGAGAUGGAUCUGCAACACAUGAGACGUACAACUCCUUUUUUUGCGGAGGUCGCAUAUCUUCCAACGUCGCAGUUAUGACCCCCUGGACUUCCCCUGUUCAUCAGGGGGAGUCCAGGGACCUGUCCCCUGGGACUGCGCGGCCUCCCACCGCCCCCG